rnacentral:lncRNA from 1 species
UUGGGCAAAUCCAAAGAAUAUAAUAUGCACGAACAUCAAUGAACAUGCAAAUAUUCCUCAAUCCACGAAAAUGGGUACAUACAAAAAUAAAUGAAUCUACAGUAUGCUAAUUUCUUGCCAGACAUGGCCAAUACAUUGUUUUUUAAUAAUUUACUGUAUAAUUAAUCAUUAUGCCUGAUAGGUUGAAAGUUAUUUGUAAGUGAAUUCAUUACUUGUGCAUUGCCUAUGAUUUUGAAAUGCAAGGAAUGAUUGGGGUAUAAAAAUAUGGUCACCUUUACUACCUCUGUUCUAGUUGAAAAAAUUGAAAGAAAAAGCAAUUUGAAAUUUUGUCAUUUUUUUUUUGGUGCCCUGGAUGUAUAACUCUACAGCUAUCUGCAGUCAGAAUGGGGACUUUAAAUCUGAUCUAUUGUCAGCCAUUGUGUCAAGAUAAAUUUCCUACCUUUGUUGCAAUCAAACACACAGCUUUCGAUAACCCUCUGUGGGGAACAUAUGGUGCCUUUCCAACAUAAGCUCAUUUUCGAGUGAUAGAAAAAUUUCCUGCCUUAGUCGCAAUUAAACCCAACCUUCCAGAACCUACCUAUAGUAUCAAUUGUUAUUCUUCUUGUCUUGAAUAUGCAUGAAAUAUUGGGACUAGAUAGUAAGCAAACAUCAAUUAAUCAAACAAUCAUAAACAUUUACGGGUGACAGAUUAAAAAUGAUGAGUGAAGGGACUUCAGUUUGAAAAUUUAUUUGUUGAUAUCAUAUAUAUGCAAGAAAAGACAUGUUAAACAAAACUAUUUUAUUCUGUGAUUUGCCCAAAAUAUGAACAUUUUAAAAAUUUAGUAUGAAAUGUUAGAUUUGAAUGUUAAGCUUAAAUGUGUUAAUUAAGUUUUGAUGUUGAGAUGUAAGCAAUGGAUAAUUGAUGUUGUUGUUUUGCAUUGCAAACUUGAAUGGAUGUUAUUUCAGCUUUUUUGAAAGAUAACAUUUUUGUAUUGCUAUUGAUAUGCAUAAAUAUAUGA